UAUUCAAAUAUUCUUGGAUUUCAGGGUUUGAAGCAGCCUGGCAAAGUAUACAUAAAAAUCAUGAAUCUGUGUCUCCGGGACCCAUCAGUGAAAUUCCUGGAGCACUGGCCUAAGAUGGAACCAUCUAGUUACAGGACAACAAGCUCGGGGC